rnacentral:rRNA from 1 species
GACGAACGCUGGCGGCGUGCUUAACACAUGCAAGUCGAACGGAAAGGCCCUGCUUUUGUGGGGUGCUCGAGUGGCGAACGGGUGAGUAACACGUGAGUAACCUGCCCUUGACUUUGGGAUAACUUCAGGAAACUGGGGCUAAUACCGGAUAGGAGCUCCUGCUGCAUGGUGGGGGUUGGAAAGUUUCGGCGGUUCGGGAUGGACUCGCGGCUUAUCAGCUUGUUGGUGGGGUAGUGGCUUACCAAGGCUUUGACGGGUAGCCGGCCUGAGAGGGUGACCGGCCACAUUGGGACUGAGAUACGGCCAAGACUCCUACGGGAGGCAGCAGUGGGGAAUAUUGCACAAUGGGCGGAAGCCGGAUGCAGCAACGCCGCGUGCGGGAUGACGGCCUUCGGGUUGUAAACCGCUUUCGCCUGUGACGAAGCGUGAGUGACGGUAAUGGGUAAAGAAGCACCGGCUAACUACGUG